rnacentral:rRNA from 1 species
AUUGAACGCUGGCGGCAGGCCUAACACAUGCAAGUCGAACGGUAACAGGAAACAGCUUGCUGUUUCGCUGACGAGUGGCGGACGGGUGAGUAAUGUCUGGGAAACUGCCUGAUGGAGGGGGAUAACUACUGGAAACGGUAGCUAAUACCGCAUAACGUCGCAAGACCAAAGAGGGGGACCUUCGGGCCUCUUGCCAUCGGAUGUGCCCAGAUGGGAUUAGCUAGUAGGUGGGGUAACGGCUCACCUAGGCGACGAUCCCUAGCUGGUCCGAGAGGAUGACCAGCCACACUGGAACUGAGACACGGUCCAGACUCCUACGGGAGGCAGCAGUGGGGAAUAUUGCACAAUGGGCGCAAGCCUGAUGCAGCCAUGCCGCGUGUAUGAAGAAGGCCUUCGGGUUGUAAAGUACUUUCAGCGGGGAUGAAGGGAGUAAAGUUAAUACCUUUGCUCAUUGACGUUACCCGCAGAAGAAGCACCGGCUAACUCCGUG